UACGUAGGGUGCAAGCGUUGUCCGGAAUUAUUGGGCGUAAAGAGCUCGUAGGCGGUUCGUCGCGUCGGCUGUGAAAACCUGAGGCUCAACCUCAGGCCUGCAGUCGAUACGGGCGGACUUGAGUACUGCAGGGGAGACUGGAAUUCCUGGUGUAGCGGUGGAAUGCGCAGAUAUCAGGAGGGAACACCGGUGGCGAAGGCGGGUCUCUGGGCAGUAACUGACGCUGAGGAGCGAAAAGCGUGGGGGAGCGAACAGG
rnacentral:rRNA from 1 species